CCUCUCGUGGUGUAGAGGUAACGCGCCCUAUCUAGAGAACAGGGAGCCAUGGGUUCCAUUCCCACCGAGAGGA
rnacentral:tRNA from 1 species